GCCGCCGCCAGGAGAAGGGGCGGAGAGAGCGGCAGGCGGCAGGGCCGGGUUCGGAUGUGCCCUGCCAUUGCACCCCCCCCGCGGGGAGGGUCUGUGCUGCCUCGGGGACCCUGUCUGUGCUGCCAGGAGAGAGAAAUCCUUUGGGAAGCUGGGCUGGAAACAGCAACUCUGUGAACUGCUCAGCUUUUCCUAGGUGAUGAAGCUUCUGGAAAAAAGACAGAAUGCGUCGAGGUAUGUUAUUAUUGACACACCAGGGCAAAUUGAGGUAUUCACCUGGUCAGCAUCAGGAACCAUCAUAACUGAGGCCUUGGCUUCCUCUUUUCCUUCGGUUGUUGUAUAUGUGAUGGACACCUCUCGCAGUACUAACCCUAUCACUUUUAUGUCCAACAUGCUGUAUGCCUGCAGGUAAGAAAAGCUGGAAGUGCAGUCCAUCUGCUUUGAUUGCUGUGUCUCUUUGGUAGUUAUUUUGGAGGGGAAUCAUAGAGUGAUUUGGUUUGAAAGGGACCUUUACAGACCACCCUCUCUUCCAUGGGCAGGGACACCUUCCACUAUGCCAGGUUGCUCCAAGUCCCACCCAGCCUGGCC